rnacentral:lncRNA from 1 species
CACAAGUGUAUGUGCAAAAGUGAAACUAAAGUUGUAACCACAGUCAAUCGCAAACACAAAAGUUUAUAGUGGUUCGGAGCUUCCACUGCUCCUACAUCCACUCCCCAAACACCUUUGGAAAUUUCCACUAUAAUCAGCGAUUACAGUCCGGUAGUUUUGCGAGUGCACUACCCAACUCGUUGUUUUACACCGGGCUAACAACGAACCCUACAAUCUGGUAGUUUUUCGAGUGCACUACCCAACUCGUUGUUUUACCCCGGGCUAACAACGAACCCUACAAUC